UUCAACCAAAAUUAGCUCCAGGUAUAUGUGUGUGUCGCUGUGUGUAGAAGGAACAAGAAGGAGGCAAUUUCCUACAAAUUGUUAGUGAUUAUCAAAGAUUUUGGGCUUCAAAAUCAUCUUCAAUCUAAACAAGAACAAGUGGUAUACUGAAGCGUGCAAAUCAACGGGUCAAGGUUGAAGAUAAGCUAACAAGAACACUACGGGCGAAGAGGUAAGUAAUCUUGUAUCUAAUUAAAAUAAAAGUUCAGUGAAUUAUUAGCAUGUUUAAUAUUUAUAAUUUAUCAAAGAGGAUACAGGUUGUUUUGGCUUGUAUAUUGUAUUUUUGGUACGUGACUUUAAAGAAAGUGAAAACGAGUCGUUUCGACCCGUUACCAAUGAAUCGGAGUAUCAAAAGCUGAAGUUGGCCUUCCAAACGCCAGAUCAGAGUUUCAAACGCCGGUAGAGCUCCGCAGUAAGGAUGCACGUGGUCAAGGUCUCGGUUCGGAUUAAAUUAAGAUGCUUUCUUUUGUAUAAAACCUUAGAUUUAACCAAACUAUUAAGUUAAGAAAUCUUUUGUAUGUGACCAUAUAU
rnacentral:lncRNA from 1 species